rnacentral:lncRNA from 1 species
AAAGAAGAUGUGGUGUGAAAUCCAUUUCAUGGUGCAAUGGGUAUUGCAUAUCUUUAAAGAUGCUAUUACUUCAGAUUUCUACCUGUAAUUACUAAGAUUUAAAAAACAACUGCAUAAUAAAAGUAUUUGAACCAAAAUUGUUAGUUAGAGCAUAUGAUUAACUUCGUAUCUAAAUCCUUUUUGAAUUAAAAAACACAAAAACAAGUCUCUUUUGAAGUUCUUAUACCAAGAAAUUUGAAAGAACUACUUGAUUAUCUAAAUCAUUCAAGCGCUUAACAUUAUCAUGUUAUAACCUUAAUUGAAACAUCAAAAUAAUCAAUGUCUCCAAACUGACAAUGAGCAGAAACUCAUAAAAAAAGUUGUUGACCCGUAAUAAUGUAAUUUCAGGAUAAAAUUGUAGAAAUUUCUCAGGAAACUCAUUAGUGUGCAUCUCAAAUAUGCAAGUGGAAAAAAAUAUGUAACCCUACACCUAGUUUCUGUGGGACUGUGGUCAGUCAAAGUCACCAAUGGCAAUCACUAUAUACAUACUAGUGUAUUCUGAAAUAUAUAUUAUACUAGUAGCUAGCCACCAGUAAAACAAUUGCAUAAUACCAAUUAUAUGGCAAAGCAAAAUGUGAGAAUGUUCAAAUAACAUCAAAAUGGUCCAUGCCUGUUUAAAAUUAUUGUAAAUUCGAUAUUUAUAUUAUUGGGAAAAAUGCGACAGGGUUUUAUUCACAAAAAUUUAAACUAGCCUUUUCAAAUUUUUUAUAUAAAGUAAACAGGAUUUGUCUCAAUGUUGCAAAAAUUAAAAUCGCACCUUAAGUCUAAAAUGAUCAUAUUGCAAUAAUAAAUACAUGCAUUAUUUCUGAAUUUACAAUAACCGGUUUGAUAGUCAAAAUGCAUCUUAUUGUAAUUUUCUUAAUUAUAUUUACAUUUGACCAACAGCAAUACACUACCAUAUAUUGCAGAUCUUUUCAAGAUA